GCUCAGGAUGAACGCUGGCGGCGUGCUUAACACAUGCAAGUCGAACGAAGAGCGAUGGAAGCUUGCUUCUAUCAAUCUUAGUGGCGAACGGGUGAGUAACGCGUAAUCAACCUGCCCUUCAGAGGGGGACAACAGUUGGAAACGACUGCUAAUACCGCAUACGAUCCAAUCUCGGCAUCGAGACUGGAUGAAAGGUGGCCUCUAUUUAUAAGCUAUCACUGAAGGAGGGGAUUGCGUCUGAUUAGCUAGUUGGAGGGGUAACGGCCCACCAAGGCGAUGAUCAGUAGCCGGUCUGAGAGGAUGAACGGCCACAUUGGGACUGAGACACGGCCCAGACUCCUACGGGAGGCAGCAGUA
rnacentral:rRNA from 1 species